GAUGAACGCUGGCGGCGUGCCUAAUACAUGCAAGUCGAGCGAACAGAUGAGGAGCUUGCUCCUCUGACGUUAGCGGCGGACGGGUGAGUAACACGUGGAUAACCUACCUAUAAGACUGGGAUAACUUCGGGAAACCGGAGCUAAUACCGGAUAAUAUAUUGAACCGCAUGGUUCAAUAGUGAAAGACGGUUUUGCUGUCACUUAUAGAUGGAUCCGCGCCGCAUUAGCUAGUUGGUAAGGUAACGGCUUACCAAGGCAACGAUGCGUAGCCGACCUGAGAGGGUGAUCGGCAACACUGGAACUGAGACAGGGUCCAGACUCCUACGGGAGGCAGCAGUAGGGAAUCUUCCGCAAUGGGCGAAAGCCUGACGGAGCAACGCCGCGUGAGUGAUGAAGGUCUUCGGAUCGUAAAACUCUGUUAUUAGGGAAGAACAAAUGUGUAAGUAACUAUGCACGUCUUGACGGUACCUAAUCAGAAAGCCACGGCUAACUACGUG
rnacentral:rRNA from 1 species